AUGACAAGGGCAAACCGUCCGAAAGGGCGGGACGCAAAGCCAGGGGGCUAAGGCGCAUUUGCGCGAUGCCGGCCCAGCUGCCA
rnacentral:ncRNA from 1 species